GCAUAUCUUUCAAAAUAUAAAUUCAAAAAUAAUAAAAUUUUCACCAAUGGAUCACAAAUCUUUUGUUCUAUCAUUUGAUGCUUUCAAAUCAAAGUUUUGAUAAAAUUAUGAUUUUGCCCCUGAAGAGCAAUAAGUCUUUUUCAAGUGAAAAUCAUUAGUACUCCUUCAAAUGCUUUGUAAUCAUCAAAAUCAAUCCAAGGAGCAACAAUCUCCUCCUUUUUGAUGAUGACAAAAUACUUGAACAAAAGCAU
rnacentral:lncRNA from 1 species